AGAGUUUGAUCCUGGCUCAGAACGAACGCUGGCGGCGUGGCUAAGACAUGCAAGCCGAACGGACCGUGGUAGCAAUAUCGCGGUUAGUGGCGGAAGGGUGAGUAAUGCAUGGAUAACGUACCCUGAACUCGGGAAUAACAGCGGGAGCAAUCCCUUUAGCGAAAGUGCUGCUAAUACCCGAUGAAGCUUCCGGAUCGCAUGAUUUGGAAAUCAAAGGCGGGGACCCCCUGCCGGUUUGGGAGCGGUCCAUGUCCUAUCAGCUAGUUGGUGAGGUAAUGGCUCACCAAGGCGACGACGGGUAGCCGGACUGAGAGGUCGACCGGCCACAUCGGGACUGAGACACUGCCCGGACACCUACGGGUGGCUGCAGUAACGAAUCUUGGGCAAUGGGCGAAAGCCUGACCCAGCGACGCCGCGUGCAGGAGGAAGUCCUUCGGGAUGUAAACUGCUGUCAGGGGUUCGCAAGCAAAGGGCUCGAACAGGGCCCGGCGUUGAGCAGCCCCAGAGGAAGCCACGACUAACUCUGUGCCAGCAGUCGCGGUAAGACAGAGGUGGCAAGCGUUGUUCGGAAUCACUGGGCUUAAAGCGCGUGUAGGCGGCCCCGCAAGUGUCGUGUGAAAUCCGACGGCUCAACCGUCCAACGGCACGGCAAACUACUGGGCUUGAGGUUGGUAGAAGUGCCUGGGAACUCUAGGUGGAGCGGUGAAAUGCGUAAAUAUCUAGAGGAACCCCUGAGACGAAAGCGGGGCACUGGGCCAAUUCUGACGCUUAUAAUCGAAAGCGUGGGGAGCAAACAGGAUUAGAUACCCCGGUAGUCCACGCCGGAAGCAAUGCACACUAGACGUCGGGUUCUCUGACGAUUUCGGCGUCGUAGCAAAAGUGAUUUGUGGUACACCCUGGAGAGGGUGGACAGAAAGUUAAAAUACGAAGGAAUUGGGGGGGGGUACCGCAAGAGGUGGAGCAUGUGGCUUAUUUCGAAGCAACGCGAAGACCAUUAACCCGGGUUUGACAAGCUUGGAUGUGCCUUGGGAAUAAUCAAGGGUCUUUGCCCGACGAUGAAACUUGCACAGGUGUAACAUGGCAGUCGUCAACUAAGGCUGUGAAGGGUCGGAUAAAGUCCCUUAACGAGCGAAACCCCUGUCGUUAAUUGCCAGCGCGUCAUGGCGGGGACUCUAGCGAGACUGCCGGCGUUAAGCCGGAGGAAGGUGGGGAUGACGUCAAGUCAUCAUGGCCUUUAUGCCCGGGGAUGCACACGUGCUACAAUGGCAUGAACAGAGCGACGGGAAGCCGCGAGGCGGAGCAAAUCGCAAAAAGCAUGCCCCAGUUCAGAUUGGAGUCUGCAAUUCGACUCCAUGAAGUCGGAAUCGCUAGUAAUCGCGCAUCAGCUAUGGCGCGGUGAAUGUGUUCAUGAGCCUUGUACACACCGCCCGUCAAGUCAUGGGAGCCGGUAGUGCCCGAAGUCCGCUUAGCCAACCGCAAGGAGGCGGCGGCCGACGGUAAGACUGGUGACUGGGACUAAGUCGUAACAAGGUAGCCG
rnacentral:rRNA from 1 species